GAUGAACGCUGGCGGCGUGCCUAAUACAUGCAAGUCGAGCGAACAGGUGAGGAGCUUGCUCCUCUGACGUUAGCGGAGGAGGGGUGAGUAACGCGUGGAUAACCUACCUAUAAGACUGGGAUAACCUCGGGAAACCGGAGCUAAUCCCGUAGAAUAUAUUGAACCACAGGGUUCGAUAGUAAAAGACGGCGUUGCUGUCACUAAUAGAUGGAUCUGCGCCGCAUUGGCUAGUUGGUAAGUUACCGGCUUACGAAGGCAACGAGGCGUAGCCGACCUGAGAGGCGGAUCGGCCACACGAGAGGGUGGACACGGUCAAUGGUCCUACGGUACGGAGCAGACGGGUACCUGACGCAGUGGGGGAAAACCUUGCGGAGUAACGCCACGUGAGUGAUAAAGGUCUUCGGUUCGGAAAGCCCGGCUAUUGGUGAAAAACAGAUGUGUAAGUAAACGAGCACUGCUUGACGGUACCGAAUCAGAAAGCCACGGCUAACUACGUG
rnacentral:rRNA from 1 species